rnacentral:rRNA from 1 species
GACGAACGCUGGCGGCGUGCUUAACACAUGCAAGUCGAACGGAAAGGCCCUGCUUUUGUGGGGUGCUCGAGUGGCGAACGGGUGAGUAACACGUGAGUAACCUGCCCUUGACUUUGGGAUAACUUCAGGAAACUGGGGCUAAUACCGGAUAGGAGCUCCUGCUGCAUGGUGGGGGUUGGAAAGUUUCGGCGGUUGGGGAUGGACUCGCGGCUUAUCAGCUUGUUGGUGGGGUAGUGGCUUACCAAGGCUUUGACGGGUAGCCGGCCUGAGAGGGUGACCGGCCACAUUGGGACUGAGAUACGGCCCAGAAUCCUACGGGAGGCAGCAGUGGGGAAUAUUGCACAAUGGGCGGAAGCCUGAUGCAGCAACGCCGCGUGCGGGAUGACGGCCUUCGGGUUGUAAACCGCUUUCGCCUGUGACGAAGCGUGAGUGAAGGUAAUGGGUAAAGAAGCACCGGCUAACUACGUG